UCGAGAAUCUUCGGCAAUGAGCGCAAGCUUGACCGAGCGACGCCGCGUGCGGGAUGAAGGCCUUCGGGUUGUAAACCGCUUUGGUCCGAAAGAAAGGGUAAAACUUGAUCGAUCGGAGAAACAAGGACGGGCUAAGUUCGUGCCAGCAGCCGCGGUAAGACGAACCGUCCAAACGUUAUUCGGAAUCACUGGGCUUAAAGGGCGCGUAGGCGGCCGAGCGGGUCGUGGGUGAAAUCCUCCAGCUUAACUGGAGAACUGCUUACGAUACCACUGCGGCUCGAGGAAGGAAGGGGUCAUGGGAACUGUCGGUGGAGCGGUGAAAUGCGUAGAUAUUCGCAGGAACACCAGUGGCGAAGGCGACUUGCUGGACUUAUGGUGACGCUGAGACGCGAAAGCGUGGGGAGCAAACAGGAUUAGAUACCCAUGUAGUCCCUGAGCGGGCUGGCAAGGCGCAU
rnacentral:rRNA from 1 species